UACAGAGGUCUCAAGCGUUGUUCGGAUUCAUUGGGCGUAAAGGGUGCGUAGGUGGCGCCGUAAGUCGGGUGUGGAAAUUUCGGAGCUUAACUCCGAAACUGCAUUCGAUACUGCCGUGCUUGAGGACUGGAGAGGAGACUGGAAUUUACGGUGUAGCGGUGAAAUGCGUAGAUAUCGUAAGGAAGACCAGUGGCGAAGGCGGGUC
rnacentral:rRNA from 1 species